UACGUAGGGGCAAGCGUUGUCCGGAUUUAUUGGGCGUAAAGAGCGUGUAGGCGGUCAGGUAGGUCCGUUGUGAAAACUCGAGGCUCAACCUCGAGACGCCGAUGGAAACCAUCUGACUAGAGUCCGGAAGAGGAGAGUGGAAUUCCUGGUGUAGCGGUGAAAUGCGCAGAUAUCAGGAAGAACACCCGUGGCUAAGGCGGCUCUCUAGUACGGUACUGACGCUGAGACGCGAAAGCGUGGGGAGCGAACAGG
rnacentral:rRNA from 1 species